rnacentral:rRNA from 1 species
UACAGGGGGGGCAAGCGUUGUUCGGAAUUACUGGGCGUAAAGGGCUCGUAGGCGGCCAACUAAGUCACACGUGAAAUCCCCAGGCUUAACCUGGGAACUGCGUGUGAUACUGGAUGGCUUGAAUUCGGGAGAGGGAUGCAGAAUUCCAGGUGUAGCGGUGAAAUGCGUAGAUAUCUGGAGGAAUACCGGUGGCGAAGGCGGCAUCCUGGACCAACACUGACGCUGAGUGAGCGAAAGCGUGGGGAGCAAACAGG